GCUUGUCUCAAAGAUUAAGCCAUGCAUGUCUAAGUACAAGCCUCAGUAAGGUGAAACCGCGAAUGGCUCAUUAAAUCACACCUAAUCUACUGGAAAGUUACUAGUUACUUGGAUAACUGAGGUAAUUCUUGAGCUAAUACAUGCGAAAAAUCUCGACUCACGGAGAGAUGCUUUUAUUAGAUCAAAACCAAACGGCUUCGGCCGUCUCAUUGGUGACUCUGAAUCCCUUUUUGGGAUAAAUCAUUCAAGUUUCUGCCCUAUCAGCUUUCGAUGGUUGUGUAUUGGACAACCACUGGCAAUAACGGGUAACGGAGAAUUAGGGUUCGGUUCCGGAGAGUUGGCCUUAAAAAUAGCCAACACAUCUAAGGAAGGCAGCAGG
rnacentral:rRNA from 1 species